GUGGGGAAUAUUGCACAAUGGGCGAAAGCCUGAUGCAGCAACGCCGCGUGAGGGACGACGGCCUUCGGGUUGUAAACCUCUUUUAGUAGGGAAGAAGCGAAAGUGACGGUACCUGCAGAAAAAGCACCGGCUAACUACGUGCCAGCAGCCGCGGUAAUACGUAGGGUGCAAGCGUUAUCCGGAAUUAUUGGGCGUAAAGAGCUCGUAGGCGGUCUGUCGCGUCUGCUGUGAAAACUGGAGGCUCAACCUCCAGCCUGCAGUGGGUACGGGCAGACUAGAGUGCGGUAGGGGAGAUUGGAAUUCCUGGUGUAGCGGUGGAAUGCGCAGAUAUCAGGAGGAACACCGAUGGCGAAGGCAGAUCUCUGGGCCGUAACUGACGCUGAGGAGCGAAAGCGUGGGGAGCGAACAGGAUUAGAUACCCUGGUAGUCC
rnacentral:rRNA from 1 species